CAGCGGGUGCAAGCCCCGCCCGGCGAAGUGCUCCCGCCGGAAGCAACCGGAGCAGCGGUGGAGGUAACGAAGCCGCUGAAGCCUUCGGUGAAGCGUGCCACAAAAUACGGUGGCAGCGCGAGUGUGCAGGCCGUAACGCGA
rnacentral:ncRNA from 1 species